AGUGAAAUAUUUUUUGAACCUAUUUGCUUUAGUAAAGCUUUAGCUCUGGAAGGUGAAAUUUUAUAUCCUGGAAUUCACCCAUGAGCUCAGCUUAUAGGAACAUUGAAUAUAAUAAUUUGCUUUUUACAGAGACUGGAAAUUACAGAGUUGAUGACAGGAGAAACCGAUUCUCUCUGAAGAUGAAAUAUGUGCAGUGGACACAGAGAUGUGACAUCCAAGAACUCCGAUGGGCAGUGCUUGCUCCAGAGAGCCCCACCAGGUUGGUCAAGGCUUUAUCAGGCCCGGAUCACAGUGGAACUUCUUGUUUUGUCCUAUCUAGCCUCCUAGUGCUUCCUUUCACUGACGUUCUUUCCUGAUAAACACCUUGUCCCCUCCCCACAACCAUCUCAGUAUCUGCUUCUGGAGAACCCAACCUGUGAUUCCAG
rnacentral:lncRNA from 1 species